AGAAUCAACGCUGGCGGCGUGCCUAACACAUGCAAGUCGAACGCGAAAGCCCCGCAAGGGGUAAGUAGAGUGGCAAACGGGUGAGUAACACGUGGGUGACCUGCCUUCGAGUGGGGGAUAACGUCCCGAAAGGGACGCUAAUACCGCAUGACAUCCUGCUUUUGGAAAAGCGGAGAUCAAAGCCGGGGAUCGCAAGACCUGGCGCUUGAAGAGGGGCCCGCGCCUGAUUAGCUAGUUGGUAGGUAACGGUCUACCAAGGCAACGAUCA
rnacentral:rRNA from 1 species